CCUACGGGAGGCUGCAGUGAGGAAUAUUGGUCAAUGGGCGAGAGCCUGAACCAGCCAAGUCGCGUGAAGGAUGAAGGAUCUAUGGUUUGUAAACUUCUUUUAUAUGGGAAUAAAGUGAGGAACGUGUUCCUUUUUGUAUGUACCAUAUGAAUAAGCAUCGGCUACUCCGUGCCAGCAGCCGCGGUAAUACGGAGGAUGCGAGCGUUAUCCGGAUUUAUUGGGUUUAAAGGGUGCGUAGGUGGUUAAUUAAGUCAGCGGUGAAAGUUUGUGGCUCAACCAUAAAAUUGCCGUUGAAACUGGUUGAAUUGAGUAUAUUUGAGGUAGGCGGAAUGCGUGGUGUAGCGGUGAAAUGCAUAGAUAUCACGCAGAACUCCGAUUGCGAAGGCAGCUGACUAAACUAUAACUGACACUGAAGCACGAAAGCGUGGGGAUCAAACAGGAUUAGAUACCCUAGUAGUC
rnacentral:rRNA from 1 species